UCAAUGAUCCGUUUGACAAAAGCAGAAGGCAGAGGAUGCACGGAGCGAUUCCAGAGCUGGGGAUGUGACAAGAGGCUGCUGCCAGGAGCCAUCUGGCCAGAGGGGAGAGGGGGAGCGCCAGCCUCGGAAUGGGCACCUUGGGAACCAGCGCCUUCACACACCUGGCUCCACACCCUGCGAGUUCCCUGGGACAGAACGGGACAUUCCUUGGGACAUUCCAUGUGGCAGAGCCACUGCUGGCCUCCAGAAGCAUGAAAAAAUCCUUUGGAACAGCAGGUGUAGGUGUUGGGGUGUGACCUGCUUUUCCAGGAGCUGACUGACUGGAGAUAGACCUGACAUCCAGGAAGGAGAAGCUCAUGUAUGAGAAGCUCCCUCAUUCCAGGAGAACCCUCCCAUCUCCAGCUCCUCUCCACCCUGAGGAAUCACCCCUUACCCUGGUGCAUUCCGAGCAGUGAAGCUCCCGAUGGUUCAGCCCCUGGGAGAGGAAGAUCAGCUCUGCAGCCCUUCACCAAGCCCAGUCUGGGGAAUUUCUGGGCUCUGCUGCUUCAUCCCAGGCCUUCUCCAGCCUCUCCAAGUCCACCCUCAUCCCUGCCAGCAGGCACAGCCUCUCCUGCUCAGCAGAGAGCUGGAAAUGCACAAUGGAAGUUGAGCAUCCUCAGGAACACAUCCAGACCCAUGGAAACACAUCCCUGAUGCUGCACAGGACCCCUGAGCAGGAUGUGCUCCCAGAGCAGCCAGAGAGUGGUAGAAGAGGUGGGAACAAGGCUGGGAAGAGUGGGCUCAGCCCAGUGGAUCACAUUGCUGGGGUCCAUCACAUACCCUGGAUCCAUGGCAUGCAGCAGGGGAAGCAUCAUCUUCAUGCCAGGACCUCAUUUGUUUCCAUUAAAAUAUCAUUUUUCCAAAAGGAGAAGUUUAAUCGUCAGGGAAAUCGUGGCAUAAAUUGUUGCAAAUUUGGAACACCAGGAGUGCUCUGAGGCCAUAGGGCAGCAAAGAGCAGGAGCUGUGAACAAACUCCAGCAGCGGGCAGUGAUGGGGCACUUCCCAUUCCCACUGAGCCAAGGAGGAUGGACCCUGUAUCCAAAGCCUGCAGAUUUGAUCCACUCCAGCAAAACCAGGCUGCUUUGCCUCCGAAUCCCUGCUCUGCCCUGCUGGUGGCACAGCUGUUGAUGUGUCAAGGGACAGCUCUGCAGCCUUGGAGCCCAGCUCUGCUGCUGACCCUCUUUUCCCCACACAGCCACUGAACAACCCAGGAGAAUCCUGCCCCCAGGAGUUUCCUACUCACAGGAAGGUGGGUCCCACAAGUGGGUUUGGUGGCAGGGAAGUCUCCUGAUGCCUCCUGCUCCUUCCUCCUGUGCUGCUCAGCUGAUGGGACAGAAUGGGUUUGUGUCAUUUCCUCAAGGAGGAAAUGUGCUGUUCCAAAGAGGGCUUGGAGCUCCUUCAGCAGUGAGUCAUGACUUUGUGUAUAAGCUAAACACUGGAGCAGAAUCAUAAAUAAAUAAAACUGCCUUCAUAAACUGGAAAUUAAACACAUCCCGUCCUUGUUUGCAAUGCACUAUGAUUCAUGCUGCUGCUUCCUACUUCAAGCGUUAUUUUAAACCAGGCUUUGCAGGCGCUUUGUGCCUUUUAUCCAUCCCUUGAUUUGCCCUGUGCUGCUGCUCGAGGAACGUUGUUUGAUAUGAUAAUAAAUUCCACCCUCGUGUUCCCUCUCCUCGUGCUGCAUCCUUGCAGGGCUGGUGGCAGUGUGAAGGCUGGAGGCUGUGGGACAUUCCGAGUUCACCAGGUCACCUUCAUCUCCACACUGAGGAAACGCUGCCCAGAGCAGGAGCCAGAGCUGGAAUCUGCGCUCACACAGGGCUGAUGUCACGCCUUGCUGGA